rnacentral:rRNA from 1 species
CGCUGNGGGGAGACGUAACACACGCAAGUCUAGCGGCAGCACACAGUGAGUUGGUUCUCUGGGUGGCGAGCGGCGGACGGGUGAGUAAUGUCUGGGAAACUGCCUGAUGGAGGGGGAUAACUACUGGAAACGGUAGCUAAUACCGCAUAACGUCGCAAGACCAAAGAGGGGGAYCUUCGGGCCUCUUGCCAUCAGAUGUGCCCAGAUGGGAUUAGCUAGUAGGUGGGGUAACGGCUCACCUAGGCGACGAUCCCUAGCUGGUCUGAGAGGAUGACCAGCCACACUGGAACUGAGACACGGUCCAGACUCCUACGGGAGGCAGCAGUGGGGAAUAUUGCACAAUGGGCGCAAGCCUGAUGCAGCCAUGCCGCGUGUAUGAAGAAGGCCUUCGGGUUGUAAAGUNCUUUCAGCGGGGAGGAAGUCGUUGUGGUUAAUAACCACAGCGAUUGACGUUACCCGCAGAAGAAGCACCGGCUAACUCCGUGCCAGCAGCCGCGGUAAUACGGAGGGUGCAAGCGUUAAUCGGAAUUACUGGGCGUAAAGCGCACGCAGGCGGUCUGUCAAGUCGGAUGUGAAAUCCCCGGGCUCAACCUGGGAACUGCAUUCGAAACUGGCAGGCUAGAGUCUUGUAGAGGGGGGUAGAAUUCCAGGUGUAGCGGUGAAAUGCGUAGAGAUCAGGAGGAAUACCGGUGGCGAAGGCGGCCCCCUGGACAAAGACUGACG